rnacentral:rRNA from 1 species
UACGUAGGGUGCAAGCGUUAAUCGGAAUUACUGGGCGUAAAGCGUGCGCAGGCGGUUAUGUAAGUCAGAUGUGAAAUCCCCGGGCUCAACCUGGGAAUGGCAUUUGAGACUGCAUGGCUAGAGUGUGUCAGAGGGGGGUAGAAUUCCACGUGUAGCAGUGAAAUGCGUAGAUAUGUGGAGGAAUACCGAUGGCGAAGGCAGCCCCCUGGGAUAACACUGACGCUCAUGCACGAAAGCGUGGGGAGCAAACAGG